GAUGAACGCUGACAGAAUGCUUAACACAUGCAAGUCAACUUGAACUUCGGUUUGGGUGGCGGACGGGUGAGUAACGCGUAAAGAACUUGCCUCACAGAUAGGGACAACAUUUGGAAACGAAUGCUAAUACCUGAUAUUAUGAUUAUAUGGCAUCGUAUAAUUAUGAAAGCUAUAUGCGCUGUGAGAGAGCUUUGCGUCCCAUUAGCUAGUUGGAGAGGUAACGGCUCACCAAGGCGAUGAUGGGUAGCCGGCCUGAGAGGGUGAUCGGCCACAAGGGGACUGAGACACGGCCCUUACUCCUACGGGAGGCAGCAGUGGGGAAUAUUGGACAAUGGACCAAGAGUCUGAUCCAGCAAUUCUGUGUGCACGGUGAAGUUUUUCGGAAUGUAAAGUGCUUUCAGUUGGGAAGAAAAAAAUGACGGUACCAACAGAAGAAGUGACGGCUAAAUACGUG
rnacentral:rRNA from 1 species